AUUUGCAAUAAAAAGCAAGAUCUCAUUGGCCAGAAUAAAGAGCCCCCCCACCCGGGCACUCCGCCCAGCUGCCUCCCCAACGGGCUAUAAAAGCCCACAGCCAGAUGCAGGGCAGCUUUCCUGGACCCCGGGCUUGCACAGGUGACCUAAGGGACAGAAAUGCAGCUGCCAUGAACGUUUCGAGGUCCAGCGACAGUCUUUACAAAAAGUAAAUAGGGGAAGUGGUGAGAAAAUGAUCGAGCUGAAACUAGAAGGGACGCUGGAGAAGUAGAAGGUAAUUAGCUGAAUUGGGAUCUGGCUGGGACUCAGGGGCUCGCCCGGUGCAAGGAGAGAGUGAAAAUGUGGGCUGUGUUUUGCCGAAUAUGCCUAACCAGUCAAGCCAACUGUCGGCAUGAAGGUGCUUUCCAGACCUGGACACAGAUACUUCCCCCAUUAUGGGGAGAUUUGCAGUGACACAAUGGUUUGUUUUCUGUUAGCGCAAGCAGAGAGAUGGGAAGUGAAUGAGACAGCUGCUCCAAAGAGACAAACUGACCGUUCCUGACAAGGAUGCUACACUCUGACUAACUAGAGCUCAGACGCACGCAUAAUCCUCAGGAAAAUUCAUCUUGGAACUCCCAAUGCACCGUGACAAGGGCCCUUGAAGGGGUAAUUAAAAUGCAUUGAGUGGCGACUGCACCUGUUUAGAAGGGAGUAUGCUGCACAGAUGUUUCUAGAGGCUGCGACUGCCCUAAGAUGAUGAAUGGAAGGUGCCAGACGCCUUUGGUGGAGCAGCUGGAGUAAGGCUUUGGUGUAAGUACCCAGUUGUGGGCCCGAAGGAGCCUGUAGGGUGCUCCCCUAGAUGCCACCUGCCUCUCGUCGGAAGGGCGUUAUGACGGAGUAUAAAUUAAUGGACACUUCAGAUUAAAGUGUCAGUGCAUCUGAUCACUAUAGCAACAUGAAGAGGCAGGGAGGAGAGGAAAUGUGUUUCCCCCAAUGUCUUUACCUUGAAAUUGCAACUCAUCCAGGCUUUUAAGUACCCCAGCUUUCCCGUGUGGAUGCUCACGCACAAGGACACGUGUUCACAGAGAAUAUUCUCACAUGUAUGCACACGCAUCCAGGCAUGCCCACACAGACCAUGCUGUCACACAUCUGCUCGUGUACGUACAGACGUGCACGCAGAUGGAGACUCCCCAACCCUUAAGGGAAUACAGUGACCCCAUCCCACACCUGCGCACACUGACUUCCGGCAUGUAUUCACUCGUGCACACACAGACGCUAAUGCACCCCCACUGUUCUCAGACAUAUACAAACACAGGUGCACAGGCACAUGCAUUCUCUCCUGUGUGCACAAGAGACAUGGGAACACUCACAUAAACACCCCUACACAGCCACUGUAUCCUGCACACCCACGUUCAGCCCAGAACUGUACUUGUGCACGCCAACCCAUGCCAAGGAUGCAUGGACACUCGUGCUCACUUACAAACAUCCACGUACUCUUGCGCACUAAGCCACUCAGAACUUUGGCACCUGCCACACACAAAUCCUGCUGUCUCACAUGCGCAAUCACCACCUCACGUGGGAGUUAAGGCACAGACCCCCCUCCCCCCCAGCCCUGAUUCUCAGAGAUGUGGAGCACCUGCUGCCCCCACUGACUUGAGGUGAAAAUCCAGCUAAUGCUGUUUGUUAUGCAAAAAGCAGUUUCUUAGCAACUAAAAUCAUAUUCUCUGUAAAGGCAACACCCGUUAGCAGGAUAAUCCCAGGUAAUUCCAGACAAGACAAAACAAAAUCAGGCUAAUGGGGGCAGCUAUAAAUAAAACAGAACGAGUAAAAUUCACCCCUGUGCAGAUGCCCAGCACGAGGCAUCUGAGCCCUCAAAAUAGGUCUCAUUAACUGUGCUGGCCCUCUGAGCAGGGCUGAAUCUCACCCAUACAUGAGCAUCCUGCAGAUGCUCAUGUAUGGGUGAGAUUUAAUUUAAUUGCUUUGCUCUCAUUUGGUUUGACAGUAUUUUUGACCCAGAUCCUCAAAGGUACUUAAGCAUCUAACUCCCACGGAUUUCAAAUGGGCCAAUUAAGAUGGUGGUUUCUGAGUUGUGGACACUUGCCCAUUAGGACUGAGACCCAGCAACUCACUUCAGAGAGGCCGUCAGAGAGUAGGGAGCUGAGGUCACUAUGCACCUGGGCUGAACUUAAACGCCUUGAACUUCAACUUCUGCAGAUGAAACGCCCUUUGGCCAAUCUCCUUAAUCGCCCAGUCCACUGGGGUGGCAGCUGGUUACCUACUUGUGAUCCAUUCUGCCACUCAUCAGCAAUGCAGCCAGGACAAAGUCGUGGAAAUGAAUGGUUCAGUUGAGGAAGGCCAGCCUGCUUUUAUAACAUUAAUGAAACACUCUAAGAGAACUUUACAAGCAGGGAAUUGUGCCUCUGCACAAAGAAUACAAGUUGGGGAUGAUCUCUGCUGUCACCCAUGUGCUUCUCUGUUCACCAGAGACUGAGAAGAUCUUCAGAGGCCAAGCUCGCAGUGCCCAAUUCAACCCUGGUGCAAGCAGGUGCAGCUAUGCUGAAGUCAGUGCAGUUGUAGCUACUUUCACCAAGGGCUGAAUUAUGUAUUCCUGACUCCAGUCACACAAUAUAAGUCAGGGUUACAAAAGAUUAUGCUUCUUGUCUCGUGGCAGGAGUCAGCACACACUGGUCCCAGUGGCUACUGUUACACACAUUCUGAUGUUUAUUAUCUCUAGACCACAUUGUCCCAGCGAGGAGUUCAUGGGACCCUCCUGAAAAACAAAAAAGUGUCAUAGAUCUAUUACAGCUGCUGCAUUUACAUUUGUAAAAUAUACCGAGUUAGGGCUGUGCAAAGCACAGCUGUGUUUUUGUGAUGUUGCUCCUUGUAACUACUGUAUUUGGAGUUUAACCAGUUCAAGACAUUUUUAAAAAUAAAGAUAUCGGAUUCAAUUUAUACAUAU